GUGAAUAUACGCGGAUCGUUAUUUUUCUUUUCUUCCGCUCCCCCUCCCCCCGACCCAACCGGCCAACCCUAUCCACUCACGGCUCGCCUCUCGCCUGACGCCCGACGCCUCCCCUCCAUCCCCAUCUCGCCCGCCGCCUCCCCUCCAUCCCAUCGAUCCCCACGCACCCGUCGCUACUACCGUCGCGGCAUACUCCGUCCGCCGAAGGCUACCCGGGGCCGCCGUCGUCCAAGGCCAACCGGUGCCUCCUGUUGAAGCCGGCUCAGCCCCCUUGCUCCGCUCACCGUCCGGGCAACCCUUGAAGCCAACGACCCUACCCCUGCAGAUCUGCGCCGAGCAGCUCCACACGAGCCAGUUCCGAGGUGAGCAGCCCUUCCCCUCCUCGAUCUUGAGUUGUUCUAGCCUUGAACCAUGGAUUAGGAUUUGGAUUCACUGAUUAGGAUUUGGAUGCCUUUAACCAGUCGUUCACUGAUUAGGAUUUGGAUUCACUGAUAUAUGUUCUGAUUUUAUUCAAUUAGCUUGCAUUUCAAUUGUACAUCUCAGUAAAAUAUGAUGUAUAUUAAAGGGUUGAAUAUUUGAAGUUAAUACUACUGUUAAAGUUCAACUCAUACUUUUGGUUUGAUAAGCGACAAAACAUUGUUUGAUCUGUUAAAUAGAGGUGUCUUUAGAGGCAGAUUUGUUGAACCAAUAUUCUUAAAACUCUAGCAUUCACUGUUUGGUAGAUGAAAUGUAUGAAAUCAUGAACAAACACCUCUCUGUUUAGAUGGAGAACAAUAGAAAGGGCAAGGAAAAGAGGAAUGAAGAGGAUAAGGUCGUAUGCAAGGUAGAUUGGGAUAAUCCUGAGAUGACCACAA
rnacentral:lncRNA from 1 species